CAGCAGCCGCGGUAAUACAGAGGGUGCGAGCGUUAAUCGGAUUUACUGGGCGUAAAGCGUGCGUAGGCGGCUUUUUAAGUCGGAUGUGAAAUCCCUGAGCUUAACUUAGGAAUUGCAUUCGAUACUGGGAAGCUAUAGUAUGGGAGAGGAUGGUAGAAUUCCAGGUGUAGCAGUGAAAUGCGUAGAGAUCGGAAGGAACAUCUGUGGCGAAGGCGACUAUCUGGGCCAACACUGACACUGAGGCACGAAAGCGUGGGGAGCAAACAGGAUUAGAUACCCGAGUAGUCCCUGUCUCUUAUAC
rnacentral:rRNA from 1 species